UACGAACUGUGCGAACGUUAUUCGGAAUCACUGGGCUUACAGGGUGCGUAGGCGGCUUGUUAAGUAGGGUGUGAAAGCCCCCGGCUCAACCGGGGGAAUUGCGCCCUAAACUGGCGAGCUGGAGUGAGAUAGGGGUGUGUGGAACUUCCGGUGGAGCGGUGAAAUGUGUUGAUAUCGGAAGGAACGCCGGUGGCGAAAGCGACACACUGGAUCUUGUCUGACGCUGAGGCACGAAAGCCAGGGGAGCGAACGGG
rnacentral:rRNA from 1 species